rnacentral:rRNA from 1 species
AUGCAUCAGGGUUGGUUAUCUAAUUGGCUAGUCAAACAUGAGGUGGUUCAUAGAUCUUUGGGCUUUGAUCACCGAGGAAUAGAGACUUUACAAAUGAAAGCAGGGGAUUGGGAUUCCAUUGCUGUCAUUUUAUAUGUAUAUGGUUACAAUUAUUCUUAA